GGGACUUGCGGGCGGCUACCAUGCAAGUCGAGGGGUAAAAGAAGCUUGCUUUUUUGAGACCGGCGCAGGGUGAGUAACGCGUAUGCAACCUACCUAAUACCGGGGAAUAGCCCGAAAAAUUUCGGAUUAAUGCUCCAUGGUUUAUCGAUGUGGCAUCGUAUUGAUAAUAAAGAUUUAUCGGUAUAACAUGGGCAUGCGUAUCAAUAGCUAGUUGGUGUGGUAACGGCAUACCAUGGCAACGAUGAUAUCGGGUCCUGAUAGGGAAAUCCCCCACACUGGUACUGAGACACGGACCAGACUCCUACGGGAGGCAGCAGUGAGGAAUAUUGGUCAAUGGAGGCAACUCUGAACCAGCCAUGCCGCGUGCAGGAUGACGGUCCUAUGGAUUGUAAACUGCUUUUGUACAGGAAGAAACCUCCCUACGAGUAGGGACUUGACGGUACUGUAAGAAUAAGGAUCGGCUAACUCCGUGCCACCCCCCGCGGUAAUACGGAGGAUCCGAGCGUUAUCCGGAAUUAUUGGGUUUAAAGGGUUCUUAGGCGGCUUUGUAAGUCAGUGUUGAUAUUACCUAACUUACCUAGGACACUGCCGUUGAUACUGCAUAACUUGAAUAAUAUGGAAUUAACUAGAAGAUGUAAUGUAUCGGUGAAAUGCUUAGAUAUGACAUGAAAUACCAAUUGCGAAGGCAGGUUACUACGUACUUAUGGACGCUGAUGAACGAAAGCGUGCGGAGCGAACAGGAUUAGAUACCCUGGUAGUCCACGCCGUACACGAUGGAUACUAUCUGUUCGGUUUUCGGACUGAGUGGCUAAGCGAAUGUGAUAAGUAUCCCACCUGGGGAGUACGUUCGCAAGAAUGAAACUCAGAGGAAUUGACGGGUGCCCGCACAAGCGGUGGAACAUGUGUUUAAUUCGAUGAUACGCGAGGAACCUUACCAGGACUUAAUGUACAUUGGACAGAUUUGGAAACAUAUUUUUCUUAGGCAAAUUUACAAGGUGCUGCAUGGUCGUCGUCAGCUAAAGCCUUGAGGUGUCAGCUUAAGUCGUAUAACGAGCGCAACCCCUAUUCUUAGUUACCAGCGGGUAAUUCAAGGGAGACUAGCAAGGAUAACCCGGCAAACCGUGGGGAAGGUGGGGAUGACGUCAAAUCAUCACGGCCAGGACGUCCUGGGCUACACAAUGGCUACAACAACAAGAACAGAAAGCAGGUACCCGGCAACAGGUUGCGAAUCUCCAAAGCUUGUCUCAGUUCGUAUUGGAGUCUGCAACUCGACUCUAUGAAGCGGGAAUCAUUAGUAAUCGGAUAUCAGCCGUGAUCCGUUGAAUAGGCUCCCGGGCCACCUACACUCCCACCGUCAGACCAGGGAAGAAGGGAGUACAGGAAGUCGGCGACCGCAAGGAGGGCAUACACUAUUGCUUUACUUUGGUUU
rnacentral:rRNA from 1 species